UGGGGAAACCCAGUGUGACUCGUCACACUAUCAUUAACUGAAUCCAUAGGUUAAUGAGGCGAACCGGGGGAACUGAAACAUCUAAGUACCCCGAGGAAAAGAAAUCAACCGAGAUUCCCCCAGUAGCGGCGAGCGAACGGGGAGGAGCCCAGAGCCUGAAUCAGCAUGUGUGUUAGUGGAAGCGUCUGGAAAGGCGCGCGAUACAGGGUGACAGCCCCGUACACAAAAGCGCAUGUGCUGUGAGCUCGAUGAGUAGGGCGGGACACGUGGUAUCCUGUCUGAAUAUGGGGGGACCAUCCUCCAAGGCUAAAUACUCCUGACUGACCGAUAGUGAACCAGUACCGUGAGGGAAAGGCGAAAAGAACCCCGGCGAGGGGAGUGAAAAAGAACCUGAAACCGUGUACGUACAAGCAGUGGGAGCCCCACCACCAAAGCAUUUGCUGUACCGCGUUGACGGAGCGAAGCGACGUCAAACCGAUAAAACAGCAGUGUAAAGUGAGCCGCAGGGCGCUUUGCGCGACAGCGCAAAGGCAGGCGGUUUCGCGUAGCGAAAGCGAAUGCUUUGGGGUGGGGUGACUGCGUACCUUUUGUAUAAUGGGUCAGCGACUUAUAUUCUGUAGCAAGGUUAACCGAAUAGGGGAGCCGGAGGGAAACCGAGUCUUAAUUGGGCGUUAAGUUGCAGGGUAUAGACCCGAAACCCGGUGAUCUAGCCAUGGGCAGGUUGAAGGUUGGGUAACACUAACUGGAGGACCGAACCGACUAAUGUUGAAAAAUUAGCGGAUGACCUGUGGCUGGGGGUGAAAGGCCAAUCAAACCGGGAGAUAGCUGGUUCUCCCCGAAAGCUAUUUAGGUAGCGCCUCGUGAAUUCAUCUCCGGGGGUAGAGCACUGUUUCGGCUAGGGGGCCAUCCCGGCUUACCAACCCGAUGCAAACUGCGAAUACCGGAGAAUGUUAUCACGGGAGACACACGGCGGGUGCUAACGUCCGUCGUGAAGAGGGAAACAACCCAGACCGCCAGCUAAGGUCCCAAAGUCAUGGUUAAGUGGGAAACGAUGUGGGAAGGCCCAGACAGCCAGGAUGUUGGCUUAGAAGCAGCCAUCAUUUAAAGAAAGCGUAAUAGCUCACUGGUCGAGUCGGCCUGCGCGGAAGAUGUAACGGGGCUAAACCAUGCACCGAAGCUGCGGCAGCGACACUGUGUGUU
rnacentral:rRNA from 1 species